AUUGAACGCUGGCGGCAGGCCUAACACAUGCAAGUCGAGCGGAUGAAGGGAGCUUGCUCCUGGAUUCAGCGGCGGACGGGUGAGUAAUGCCUAGGAAUCUGCCUGGUAGUGGGGGAUAACGUCCGGAAACGGGCGCUAAUACCGCAUACGUCCUGAGGGAGAAAGUGGGGGAUCUUCGGACCUCACGCUAUCAGAUGAGCCUAGGUCGGAUUAGCUAGUUGGUGGGGUAAAGGCCUACCAAGGCGACGAUCCGUAACUGGUCUGAGAGGAUGAUCAGUCACACUGGAACUGGGACACGGUCCAGACUCCUACGGGAGGCAACAGUGGGGAAUAUUGGACAAUGGGCGAAAGCCUGAUCCAGCCAUGCCGCGUGUGUGAAGAAGGUCUUCGGAUUGUAAAGCACUUUAAGUUGGGAGGAAGGGCAGUAAGUUAAUACCUUGCUGUUUUGACGUUACCAACAGAAUAAGCCCCGGCUAACUUCGUG
rnacentral:rRNA from 1 species